GGGGUCCCAGGCUGCAUCACAGAGACAUUCCAACAGCUGGCCUCCCUGGUAAUGCCGUGACUUGAGGCCCCAUUUCCUUAAACCCUUCCCUGGGAAAUAGUGACUUCUGUGUAGUCACCAAGAGAAUCUCCAGGGAAUGUAUUAUGAGGCGUCCUUAAAAAGAGGCCUAGGGGCUUCGUAAGAAAUGGACUGUAGGUCUAGAACAAGUAUUGAUAUCGAACCUCUUCAUCUCAAGUUCAUGUGCCCAAUGCACAGUAGGCUAGUCACUGAGACACCAGUGCUUGGAGAUGGAGAAGCUUUUAUUUGAAUUGGCCAAAAUGGAAGCACCUUGUUCUCUCAAAUGCAAGUUACCAAAGGAAGACAGCAGAACCAGCAAGACCAUAAAGCUGAUCCGAGGAGAAUUCUCAGAACAGAAGUUUAUAUAGAAGCAGGACGCAUGCUGAGAAAAGUCAGCUUGGUUAGAGAAAUCUGCUCAUCUCUGCAGCUUCAAAGCAGCACGCAGGAAUCAGAGAUGCUUACAUCAGCAGGAGACCUGGGAGAUGUUCUAUGGCAUCUCUGCCAUCGUACAGACUUCUCCAUCAAGGGCUUGAGCUGCAAAUAUGAAUAAAAAAAGUUCCCUGCUGUCAAGGUGAUCCUGGAUCAUCACAAGAGAGACAGCCGAUCUAAGUGAAGAGAGAAUGUAGCUCUGAUGGAGACAUAAGAUGUUGGGUUGAUACACAGUGAUGCCUUAUGGAACCCAAGGGCUGUCAAGCUUCGGGAGCUACCACAGAGGCACCCAGAGAUGAAUAAUCAUGGGAACCACACUUCCCUUCAUCAGGAUUAGCCUAGGGUUGGAUGUGUGACUCAAUUCCAGCUAAGAAGACAGAGAAGUCUGUUGGGGACCUGGUGAAUGUUUUUUCCCUUUAAGAAAAAAUCUGGAGCCUUCUGUUUUCCAUCUUGGAACAUAACUGUGAAGAUGUAGAGCUUGGAAUUGUAGCAGCCAUGUAGUGACUACAAGGUGACAAGCCUGAGGAGAGAAGCUGAAAGGCCGUUAGGGAGAAGCUAUGUUCUUGACGAUAUCGUUGAGCCUCGGUCAGAACCAGUCCUGGAAUGGCCAACCUCCAGACUUCUUGUUACUGCAGAUAAAUAAAGGUCUACAAGGCUUAAGCCGCU
rnacentral:lncRNA from 1 species